rnacentral:antisense_RNA from 1 species
UGUGGGAGCGGGCUUGCUCGCGAAGGCAUUUGCUCUGCCAACGAAAAUGUUGGAUCUGCCGGCCUCUUCGCGAGCAAGCCCGCUCCCACA